rnacentral:rRNA from 1 species
AUUGAACGCUGGCGGCAGGCCUAACACAUGCAAGUCGAACGAGUGGCGGACGGGUGAGUAAUGUCUGGGAAACUGCCUGAUGGAGGGGGAUAACUACUGGCAACGGUCGCUAAUACCGCAUACCCUCAGAUGUGCCCAGAUGGGAUUAGCUUGUUGGUGGGGUACCUGCGCACCAAGGCGAAGAUCCCUAGCUGGUCUGAGAGGAUGACCCGCCACCAUGGACCGGAGACACGGUCCAGACGCCUACGGGAGGCAGCAGGGGGGAAUAUUGCACAAUGGGCGCAAGCCUGAUGCAGCCAUGCCGCGUGUAUGAAGAAGGCCUUCGGGUUGUAAAGUACUGUCAGCGGGGAGGCGUUACCCGCAGAAGAAGCACCGGCUAACUCCGUGCCAGCAGCCGCGGUAAUUC